CUGUGGGGCGGGGCUGGCGCGCCGAGGGGCUGCGGCGGAGCUGCGGGCGGGCGGGCGGCCCAUCCCGCCUGCAGGCGCUGCACCUGCGGACACGAGCGUCCGGCUGCCGCCCCGCCCCGGCGACCCGACUCCAAGCUGCCGCUGAGAUGAGCGCGGUGUCAGAGCCGUAGG